CCGAUAUUCGCCCUCGAGCGGCUGUCGUAGUUUGUAUCGUCCAUUAAUCACGAACCUUGGAUGAUGUGGAGCUAUUUAGCCGAGCCUGCUAGCCCGUGGCAGCAACUAUGUAACUGUCCUGUUAUGACCAAGUAAGAGUGGACCAUAUGUCACCGCCACUUUUGUUUAAAAUUACACCCAAAUCUGGGUAACGUGUAUUUUAGCGUUUGCUUCUGUUAGUGUGAUUUAUUUUGUUACCUUAACCAAGCCAGCAAAGGAGGACAGGUGAACCACAACAUAAAUAACUCGGGUGAAUGCAAGCAAAGCGAGAAUAAUGACAAAAAUAAUUACACGAUAUGUCAAAAAAAAUUGUACGUGAAACCUGGUGCUCGAAAAGAAACUUGUCAUUUCAGCCCCCCUUGAUAGUGUGAGGCCCGUCCUCCGUUUGAAUGCAUACACGUAUGUGUGUAUUGUCGCAUCCUAAUGGCAUGUAUCACUUCACACAUGUAUCACUUGAUCUUCUCUAUGUUGUAGAUGGAUUGGAACAGCAAAAGAAAAAAAAGUCACACGCCAGUAAAUGUCAGAAAAUAGCUAUAAACUUUGAGGGUGAGGUUUGUUGGUUCUGCCCUUGGGGGCUCCACAACCACAUUUUUAUUCUGGGCUACAUAAACAAAGCUCAGUGCUCAGUACAGUGACCAAAUAUGGCCAAGAAAGUAUUCCCUCUUUUUGCAUUCAUAAAAGUAGUGCUACUAGAGUCUCUCCCCCCUCCCCGGUCCUUCCCAAUCUAGCAUCAAGAAGGUUAAACAUAUGGCUGGCACAGAAGUGGCCAUUGACCAGAGCAGGCUCGUCAUCAGGCCUUCGUCAAAGGAUAAGGAGCAUUACAAGCUUUGAAAGCUUUGACGUAACUUGGCGGAGUGGUUGGUGUGAGUGUGCUCGUAUGCCCUAAUGUGAUCUACAUUAUCAUCUACGUUCCCUACACAAGCGUGCGAAAAUAAAGCGUUUGUAUUUUUUAUUUUUGUUUGAGCUGAGACAAAUUUUACAAGCAUGAUGACAGCUAUUUUCUUAUUCUAUGGAUGACUAUUAUUAAACAGUGGUAAAAAAUAGCAUAGAAUCAAGUUGUAAUAUUACACAGUUUGUGUGAACACACCCCCCUCCCCCGCCCACCAAUAAUUUACGAGGCUGUAAAAGAACAAAGAAGAAAAACCUUUAUUUGUCUCACAAUGGAGAAAUUCGGAAUUUACAGCAGCAAAAACUAUGAAGAAAAGAAAGUAGAAAAACAAAAUAAAAUAUUUGCAUGCACACAAAAAAAUGAAAAAACAGUUUUUAAAAAAUGGACUGUACAAAGGGAAAUAUAUGCAAUUGUAAAGUGGUUGUGCUAUUUACAAUCGGUGACUCCAGGUUUUCACGCGUUUUAUUCAACAGCAGUCGGCAGGAACGAAGAAUAGUGUCGUUAAAUUGGGACAAUCAAGUUGGAAUAUUAAGUGUUAAGAACUGUUAUGCAAGAAAUGUACUUGCAGAUCAUUUAAAGUUGACAUUUUUAGAAGUUUAAAUAAGAUAAGGGUAAAGAUAUAAUAAUGUUAUGACAAUUCAGGAAGGGCAAGUUAGAUUACAUAAAUGAAUGGUAAAUAGAGUGCACUUGUUGUCAAGUGUCCUUGGGUGUCUUGAAAGGCGCUUAUAAAUAAAAUGUAUUCAUUAUUAUUAUUACCGGUACUUGUUUAUUGCUUUAUCACCACCAUUUGGAUUUGAGAUGUUGCCCAAACAGUUGUCAUAAAAAAAUAAAUAAAUAAAUGAUGACUACCAGAAUCCAUAAGGUAUCAUGAGAAUAAUAUCUGAAUAUUUUCUGAUCCACAUAUCCUCACAAGGGUCGGGGGUUGUGCUGGAGCCUAUCCUAGCUAUUCUAGGGGAGUAGGCGGGGGACACCUUGGACUGGUCGCUAGCCAAACACAGGGCACACAUAGACAAACAACCAUCCAUUCUCACACUCACACCUAGCGACAAUUUAGAGUGUUCCAUUAACCUGCAGGCAGGUUUUUGGAAUGUGGGAGGAAACCAGAGUACCCGGAGAAAACCCACGCAAGCACGGGGACAACAUGCAAACUCCACACAGGAAGGCCGGAGCCGGAAUCGAACCCUGCACCUCUGCACUGUGGAGCUGACGGGCUAACCACUCGACCAUCGGUCUUAAUAUUACAAGCGGAAAAAAAGUCACUUUGUUGGAGGGAAAGUCUGACAUGUUAAUUCCCUCAUCAUUUCAUAAGAAUACACAACUUGAUUGAUCAAAGAAAAAUACAAACAUCUAGGACAGGCAUGUUUCAGUUUUCUGAGGAAAGAAAUAUAAUAUAGAUACAGUUGUAAAAUUGUGAGGAAAAGUAAUAUUACAAUCAUUUUGUUGUAGUGUCACGAGAACAAAUACAGCGAUCCCCCGCUAUUUUGCGGUUCGUUUAUCGCGGCCUCGAUACAUCGAGGAUUUUUUUUUCAAACAUAUUCACACAAAAAAACCCCUCAAAUGCCUCAAAAAGUCAGCAAAAGGUCCUCGAGAGGCAGUGAAAGUCAGCAAAACAACAGUAAGUCACAUAGAGCAACAUAUACAGUGCUACAUACAUGUGUUUGCUGUAUUUUGUUAUUCAUACACUAACCUAACCAAA